rnacentral:rRNA from 1 species
AGCGAACGCUGGCGGCAGGCUUAACACAUGCAAGUCGAGCGGGCACUUUCGGGUGUCAGCGGCGGACGGGUGAGUAACGCGUGGGAACGUGCCCUCUGGUUCGGAAUAACUCAGGGAAACUUGAGCUAAUACCGGAUACGCCCUUUUGGGGAAAGGCUUGCUGCCGGAGGAUCGGCCCGCGUCUGAUUAGCUAGUUGGUGAGGUAACGGCUCACCAAGGCGACGAUCAGUAGCUGGUCUGAGAGGAUGAUCAGCCACACUGGGACUGAGACACGGCCCAGACUCCUACGGGAGGCAGCAGUGGGGAAUAUUGGACAAUGGGCGCAAGACUGAUCCAGCCAUGCCGCGUGAGUGAUGAAGGCCUUAGGGUUGUAAAGCUCUUUUAUCCGGGACGAUAAUGACGGUACCGGAGGAAUAAGCCCCGGCUAACUUCGUG